rnacentral:rRNA from 1 species
GACGAACGCUGGCGGCGUGCCUAAUACAUGCAAGUUGAGCGCUGAAGGUUGGUACUUGUACCAACUGGAUGAGCAGCGAACGGGUGAGUAACGCGUGGGGAAUCUGCCUUUGAGCGGGGGACAACAUUUGAAAACGAAUGCUAAUACCGCAUAAAAACUUUAAACACAAGUUUUAAGUUUGAAAGAUGCAAUUGCAUCACUCAAAGAUGAUCCCGCGUUGUAUUAGCUAGUUGGUGAGGUAAAGGCUCACCAAGGCGAUGAUACAUAGCCGACCUGAGAGGGGGAUCGGCCACAUUGGGACUGAGACACGGCCCAAACUCCUACGGGAGGCAGCAGUAGGGAAUCUUCGGCAAUGGACGAAAGUCUGACCGAGCAACGCCGCGUGAGUGAAGAAGGGUUUCGGAUCGUAAAACUCUGUUGGUAGAGAAGAACGUUGGUGAGAGUGGAAAGCGCAUCAAGUGACGGUAACUACUCAGAAAGGGACGGCUAACUACGUG